rnacentral:tRNA from 1 species
GAACAUGAAUUGUGUUAGCUUUGCAAAAGCUAAAGAGAAUUGUUUUAAUAAUUCCAUGUUUU